ensembl:snRNA U1 U1 spliceosomal RNA
AUACUUACCUGGCAGGGGAGAUACCAUGAUCGUGAAGGUGGUUUUCCCAGGGUGAGGCUUAUCCAUUGCUCUCUGGAUGUGCUGACCCCUGAUUUCCCCAAAUAUGGUAUACUCAACUACAUAAUUUGUGGUAAUGGGAGACUGCGUUUGCUCUUUCCCCUG